GAUCCUGGCUCAGGAUGAACGCUAGCUACAGGCUUAACACAUGCAAGUCGAGGGGAAACGAUAUUGGAAGCUUGCUUCCGAUAGGCGUCGACCGGCGCACGGGUGAGUAACGCGUAUCCAACCUGCCCAUCACUUGGGAAUAACCUUGCGAAAGUAAGACUAAUGCCCAAUGACAUUUAUAGAAGGCAUCUGAAAUGAAUUAAAGAUUUAUCGGUGAUGGAUGGGGAUGCGUCUGAUUAGCUUGUUGGCGGGGUAACGGCCCACCAAGGCGACGAUCAGUAGGGGUUCUGAGAGGAAGGUCCCCCACAUUGGAACUGAGACACGGUCCAAACUCCUACGGGAGGCAGCAGUGAGGAAUAUUGGUCAAUGGGCGAGAGCCUGAACCAGCCAAGUAGCGUGCAGGAUGACGGCCCUAUGGGUUGUAAACUGCUUUUAUAGGGGAAUAAAGUGAGCCACGCGUGGUUUUUUGCAUGUACCCUAUGAAUAAGGACCGGCUAAUUCCGUGCCAGCAGCCGCGGUAAUACGGAAGGUCCGGGCGUUAUCCGGAUUUAUUGGGUUUAAAGGGAGCGUAGGCCGGAGAUUAAGCGUGUUGUGAAAUGUAGACGCUCAACGUCUGCACUGCAGCGCGAACUGGUUUCCUUGAGUACGCACAAAGUGGGCGGAAUUCGUGGUGUAGCGGUGAAAUGCUUAGAUAUCACGAAGAACUCCGAUUGCGAAGGCAGCUCACUGGAGCGCAACUGACGCUGAAGCUCGAAAGUGCGGGUAUCGAACAGGAUUAGAUACCCUGGUAGUCCGCACGGUAAACGAUGGAUGCCCGCUGUUGGUCUGAAUAGGUCAGCGGCCAAGCGAAAGC
rnacentral:rRNA from 1 species